rnacentral:rRNA from 1 species
UACGGAGGGUGCAAGCGUUAUCCGGAUUUAUUGGGUUUAAAGGGUACGUAGGCGGUGGAGUAAGUCAGUGGUGAAAGCCAACAGCUCAACUGUUGAACUGCCAUUGAUACUGCUUCACUUGAGUGCAGUUGAGGUGGGUGGAAUUCCAUGUGUAACGGUGAAAUGCUUAGAUAUAUGGAGGAACACCGAUAACGAAGGUAACUCACUAAACUGUAACUGACGCUGAGGUACGAAAGCGUGGGGAGCGAACGGG